UAACCUGCCACUGCCUCUUCCAGCAAAGACCUGAAUCUGGCAGAGUUUGCUGUGGCUACAGGGGACCAGACUCCCUACAGGAGCGAGGACAUCCAACUAGAUUACAAAAACAACAUCCUGAAGGAGAGGGUUGAGCUGGCCCACAGCCCCCUGCCUGCCAAGAACAUCGACCUGGACAAAGAGUUCCGGAAGGAGUACUGCAAAUAAAGGGAUGCUGGGCCCCUGGCUGGGCCAGCAGCUCUGCACCAGGACUGUGGAUGUCCCCAAGCCCUCUGAUGGCUCCCUGACUUCCUCCCAGCGGCUGGUCCCGCUUUCCUGAAAUUGGCCCCAGACUGGCUGGCACAGAGUGGCUGGGGAACCAUAUUUUGUUCUCAAAAAGCUACAGCAUGGCCACCACCUCUCAACCACCCUUCCCAACUGGUGGCCCUACCCCUGACAACACACCCCACAUCCCACUGAUGCCUGUCAAGCCCUCAGGUCCUCCUGGCCCCUCUCUGCUGGGGAGGAAAACACCCUGGAGGGGACUCAGCACUCAGCAGCCCUGGGGAGCUGGGGUCAGCCUCAGGGCUGGUACCUCACUCCUCUGGAGGGAACCCACAGUGGCCUUUCCAGACUGCACCAGGCACCCUCACGUUACUCAGAGCCCUACCCAGCUGCAGUCUGUCCUGUGGGGAGACUGAGGACUCCUGGGCCCUCCACUGCUUUGGGCUACGAGGGGCUGCUGUGGCCCUGUGCUUCCGGCUAUUCCCCAGUUGUUUUCCACGAGUUUUCUUGACAGUCACUGGGCUCCAUGUGACUUUUGACACUCAUACCCCUCCCUCCCUGGGGAGGGGCCCGUGUUUGGCUUCUAUUGUGGUUGAGAACAGGUGGGGGUGACAGUGGAUGUGGGUGGCCUGUGCUCCCAUCUGACACUCCGCGUGUGCUUCUGCUGGGAGAACUGCCAUCACAAUAAAGAACAUAUCUGAUUUUUA